rnacentral:rRNA from 1 species
UACGGGGGGAGCAAGCGUUGUUCGGAUUUACUGGGCGUAAAGGGCGCGUAGGCGGCGUGACAAGUCACUUGUGAAAUCUCCGGGCUUAACUCGGAACGGUCAAGUGAUACUGUCGUGCUAGAGUACAGAAGGGGCAACUGGAAUUCUCGGUGUAGCGGUGAAAUGCGUAGAUAUCAGGAGGAACACCAAUGGCGAAGGCAGCUCACUGGGACGGUAUUGACGCUGAGACGCGAAAGCGUGGGGAGCAAACAGG